rnacentral:rRNA from 1 species
UACGUAGGGUGCGAGCGUUAAUCGGAAUUACUGGGCGUAAAGCGUGCGCAGGCGGUUCGCCAAGUCAGGUGUGAAAUCCCCGGGCUUAACCUGGGAAUUGCGCUUGAAACUAGCGGGCUUGAGUGUGGCAGAGGGGGGUGGAAUUCCACGUGUAGCAGUGAAAUGCGCAGAUAUCAGGAGGAACACCAAUGGCGAAGGCAGCUCGCUGGGACGUGACUGACGCUGAGACGCGAAAGCGUGGGGAGCAAACAGG